rnacentral:rRNA from 1 species
UACGGGGGGGGGCAAGCGUUGUUCGGAAUUACUGGGCGUAAAGGGCUCGUAGGCGGCCAACUAAGUCGGAUGUGAAAUCCCCAGGCUUAACCUGGGAACUGCAUCCGAUACUGGAUGGCUUGAAUCCGGGAGAGGGAUGCAGAAUUCCUGGUGUAGCGGUGAAAUGCGCAGAUAUCAGGAGGAACACCUAUGGCGAAGGCAGCUCGCUGGGACGUUACUGACGCUGAGACGCGAAAGCGUGGGGAGCAAACAGG